UACGAAGGGGGCUAGCGUUGCUCGGAAUCACUGGGCGUAACGGGUGCGUAGGCGGGUCUUUAAGUCAGGGGUGAAAUCCUGGAGCUCAACUCCAGAACUGCCUUUGAUACUGAAGAUCUUGAGUUCGGGAGAGGUGAGUGGAACUGCGAGUGUAGAGGUGAAAUUCGUAGAUAUUCGCAAGAACACCAGUGGCGAAGGCGGCUCACUGGCCCGAUACUGACGCUGAGGCACGAAAGCGUGGGGAGCAAACAGG
rnacentral:rRNA from 1 species